rnacentral:lncRNA from 1 species
UUGACUAAAAGGAGGCCUAGAACCAGAUGAACUACUUGCACCUCUGAAUUUCUUGCUCUCCGGCUGAUGUGUACUGGGUGCACUCUGAGUCUGGUCUCUUCUCUGCUGAGACCGCUGGCGUCUAGAACGCUGAUUGGCCUGUAUUCGCUCUAUCUCUUGAGCUGCCUCUACCAAGGCUGAGAAUUCUCUGAAUCUGGAAGCUACCACUCCCAUCUGAAUCUCAUCAUUCAGGCCUUC